UGGGGAAAAUUGCACAAUGGGGGAAACCCUGAUGCAGCGACGCCGCGUGAACGAAGAAGGUAUUCGUAUCGUAAAGUUCUGUCCUAUGGGAAGAUAAUGACAGUACCAUAGAAGAAAGCUCCGGCUAAAUACGUGCCAGCAGCAGCGGUAAUACGUAUGGAGCGAGCGUUGUCCGGAAUUAUUGGGCGUAAAGGGUACGCAGGCGGUUUAAUAAGUCGAAUGUUAAAGAUCGGGGCUCAACCCCGUAAAGCAUUGGAAACUGAUAAACUUGAGUAGUGGAGAGGAAAGUGGAAUUCCUAUUGUAGUUGUGAAAUACGUAGAUAUUAGGAGGAAUACCAGUAGCGAAGGCGACUUUCUGGACACAAACUGACGCUGAGGUACGAAAGCGUGGGGAGCAAACAGG
rnacentral:rRNA from 1 species